ACCAGCGGCCGUAGCCGUGCAUGUCUACCGGUUCCCGUUCGAUCACCGAAGUCAAGAUGCACUGGGCGGCGUUCCGUAAGAAGAUGUGGGUGACCGCUCUACAUUCGUCUCUGGAAGCGCCGUGCUGCUGGUU
rnacentral:rRNA from 1 species